GACGAGUGGCGAACUGGUGAGUAACACGUGGGUAACCUGCCCUUGAAGUAGGGGAUAACACUUGGAAACAGGUGCUAAUACCGGAUAACAACCAAAACCACCUGGUUUUGGUUUAAAAGAUGGCUUCGGCUAUCACUUUAGGAUGGACCCGCGGCGUAUUAGCUUGUUGGUAAGGUAACGGCCUACCAAGGCAAUGAUACGUAGCCGACCUGAGAGGGUAAUCGGCCACAUUGGGACUGAGACACGGCCCAAACUCCUACGGGAGGCAGCAGUAGGGAAUCUUCCACAAUGGACGAAAGUCUGAUGGAGCAACGCCGCGUGAGUGAUGAAGGGUUUCGGCUCGUAAAACUCUGUUGUUGGAGAAGAACAGGUGUGAGAGUAACUGUUCACAUCUUGACGGUAUCCAACCAGAAAGCCACGGCUAACUACGUGCCAGCAGCCGCGGUAAUACGUAGGUGGCAAGCGUUGUCCGGAUUUAUUGGGCGUAAAGCGAGCGCAGGCGGUUUCUUAGGUCUGAUGUGAAAGCCUUCGGCUUAACCGGAGAAGUGCAUCGGAAACCAGGAGACUUGAGUGCAGAAGAGGACAGUGGAACUCCAUGUGUAGCGGUGAAAUGCGUAGAUAUAUGGAAGAACACCAGUGGCGAAGGCGGCUGUCUGGUCUGUAACUGACGCUGAGGCUCGAAAGCAUGGGUAGCGAACAGGAUUAGAUACCCUGGUAGUCCAUGCCGUAAACGAUGAGUGCUAA
rnacentral:rRNA from 1 species